CUCGGACUAUGUCUUUUGCGGGUUUCGUGUCUGACGUUUGCAAUUAAUUCGAUCGAAUACUGUUUCAACAUUGAAAGAAUACAUCAAAUAUCCUGUCUGACUUUCUAUCUGCGAGUGAUCUAACAUAUUUCCUUGAAGCCGAUGAGAACCGACCCAAGAGAGGACCGAGAUGGCUUGAGGAGCUCAUCUAUGACCCAACAAUGGCGGUAACGAUUACGAGGGGCGCCAAAACGGAGCGUAACCCUGUGUUGGAGGGAAGCAAAGGGGGAGGAGGGCGACGAAGAAGAUGAAGUAGAAUUUGAAGGAGAAGAAGAGAAGAUCGUGGAGGCAAUGAGCAGCAAAGAGCCAAAGACUGUUAAAAGGCUUAAAGGAGUCUCCCCCCACGACUUCAUUCCUGCUUUCUAGUUCCUCCUUUCGCUACGGUUUUCUUGACGCUAGAUACUCUUGUGUUGGGCACUAGAUGAUGUUGGCAGGAGCUUUGCAAAUGUGAUGGAUCCAUAAUCUUCUAUGGCACUAAUCGCGGUGGCACAGGGAAGGAAUGUUGCGUCUCGUGUGCAGCGUGACCUUGAUCAGGUUGCCAACCAGUGGCCAGAUUGGAUAUAUAUAUAUAUAUAUAUAUAUAUAUAUAUGUAUGUAUUUAUAUAGGAAGUUAUUUUUUUAAGAUGGUCUGAUCGUCUAUGCAAGUAGGGGGAUUAAAUCUGUGGGCGACUAUGGAAUUCAGGCAUCCUAGAAGAUAGUGGACAAGAUUCGGAUCCUCAAAACUCGUCUGGAGACAAAUAAAUAUGUAAGGAGAAGAGCACUGGACAGUGGUGUUUCCCAUUUCCAAUUACUAUUACCACGAAGUGGAGUGGUGCAGAAGUUGAAAUUUGCUUCCCAACUGGGCAUUUUCCUGUCAUCUUCUGCUAAAUCAAAUGAGCUCUAUCGGUGGUCUUACAUUAUCUUUGCAAGUUUAGCAGUUGCUCAACAAUGGGUUGUAAAACUUUGUUCCUGUAGCCUUUCCUGUGGUACUUGAACAAUUCUUGUGUACUGUCUCCCUGUCCUUUGUUUGAUGCACAAGCUGAGCAUGGGAAGGCUCAUGACCAGAUUGUUUCAAAUUAAAAGUCUCAAGCUACGUCAAAUGGGUACAGGGUUAACCAAGGUGCAGGUACCAGAAGUUGGGUAUUCUCUUUUCAACUGGCCAGUUUCCUGUCAUUUUCUGCUGAAUCAAAUCAGCCCUGUAGGUGCUCUUACAUUAUCUUUGCAUGUUUCACAGUUUGCUCAACAAUGGGUAGUAAAAGAUUUGUUCCUGUAGUCUGUGGAAUGUGAACAAUUCUUCUGCACUGUUUCACUUUUCCUUUUCUUUGGAAGGCUCAUGACAAGAUUGUGCCGAUGCCAAGAGAGACGCAUCUGUGUAUUGAACUCCUGUCCUUCUUCAACUUAAUUGUCUCAAGUCUGGCCUCCUGGCCAUGUGGGAUGCUGUCUUUGU